rnacentral:rRNA from 1 species
UACGUAGGCAGCAAGCGUUGUUCGGAAUUACUGGGCGUAAAGAGUGUGUAGGCGGUGUUCUAAGUCUGUCGUGAAAUCUCCCGGCUUAACUGGGAGGGUGCGGCGGAGACUGGAAUGCUAGAGUGUGGGAGAGGUAAGCGGAAUUCCUGGUGUAGCGGUGAAAUGCGUAGAUAUCAGGAGGAACACCUGUGGUGUAGACAGCUUACUGGACCACGACUGACGCUGAGACACGAAAGCGUGGGUAGCAAACAG